rnacentral:rRNA from 1 species
UAAGGAAUAUUGGACAAUGGACGCAAGUCUGAUCCAGCCAUGCCGCGUGAAGGAUGAAUGCCCUCUGGGUUGUAAACUUCUUUUAUAGGGGAAGAAAGAUACUUUUUUUAAGGUAGUUGACGGUACCCUAUGAAUAAGCACCGGCUAACUCCGUGCCAGCAGCCGCGGUAAUACGGAGGAUGCAAGCGUUAUCCGGAUUUACUGGGUUUUAAGGGUGCGUAGGCGGGCAUGUAAGUCAGUGGUGAAAUACCGGAGCUUAACUUCGGAACUGCCAUUGAUACUAUAUGUCUUGAAUAUUGUGGAGGUAAGCGGAAUAUGUCAUGUAGCGGUGAAAUGCAUAGAUAUGACAUAGAACACCGAUUGCGGAGGCAGCUUGCUACGCAAAUAUUGACGCUGAGGCACAAAAGCGUGGGGAUCAAAC